ensembl:lncRNA
UUCAGACAUCACACAGCCCUUCAGAUGGGAGCAUGGAGCUCAGAGUUCUGGGACCUAUGGAUCUGUACAGAUCCCACCUUUCCAACUUCCUCAUAGAACAGGGAUAUUAGCAAACUGUAGGUGUGAAUGGGAUACAAAUAGAGAACUUCAAUAUGAUACCAAGCCAUGGCUUUUAGCAGUUUUUUUUUAGCACUUUUGUUUUUAUUUUUAAUCAGUUUUCAUUUUGAAAAAUACACAGAAUCUGAAACAACCCUCUGGAGGGUAGGACACCAAAGGGAAGAUCACAGUAUGUACAAUUCUCAUAUUCAGAUAUUUUCCUGAAGUGGGACCGGAGGUGGUAGACGAAGCUGCUCUGUACCCAGGGCAGUUGAAAUACCAACUGAGCUUUCCUGCAGCUUUGAGUGGGAUUUUGUCUCGCUUCCCCACCAUAGAUAGCCUUUUGCUGAAGAAGGUUAAAGCUAACAGUCUCCUUUACCUCAAUGGAUACCAUUUAAAGCCCUAUUUUAUUCUGUUUCUUUUCUUGCAAAAACAAUCCUAUCUUUCCUUUGGAAAGAGGGUGAACUGUUCCAAACCCAAAUGACUCAGUGUGUGUUCUUCUCAGUCACUUUCCUCUGUCUGCCACGAUGACUGCAUCGCACUCCUUGCAGGACAGGGUGAGCGGUUCACCAGAUACAUCUCAGUUCUGCAAUAGUGCUGUUGCUGCAGUUCUGGCCUGAAACAAAGCUUAGCCAUUUCCUGAUAAUAUUCCUUUACAGGAUCCUUUCAAUCUUAGUUUACACAGGAUGUCUUAUACUAUCUGGAUUGGACUUUUUAAGAAUUCAUUUCCUUUGCAUGGUUAACUGUUAAAAUCAUUUUGACCAGAUUCUAAAAAUUCUUCCAGAAGGUACUGUUUUUAAGCUAGGAACGUUGUCACAGUAAGAAUUCCUUCUUGCACAGUUCCAGGCUACAAACAGAGCUUUUAUAUGAUGGCCACUUCUACUUUUCUGUGCUUCAUGGCAGAAAGAAAAUGCUGAAUUCGGCCUUCUAGAGCCUUUGGUUUAUCAGGAAAUGAUUUGUUAUACUGCGUCACUUCCUUCUUCUGCACUGAUAUUCUCUGAACUUUCACCGUCAUCUCUGUCAGCUUCACCCGUCUGAUGAAGAAAUAGGCCAUUUCUUUUGGAAAAAAUACUUGUGAUGACAGACCAUGACACUUGGCACUAAAACAGAAACUCAAGUUCCACAGGCUCAAGUUUCACAAGAUUUCCAUCCUUAUGUUUCACAGCGUGAGCUUCUUCCUACUUCCACUUUUUAUCCGACAGAAAGUAGUUGUCUUUUCUCCCGCUUUCAGUUCUCCUGGAGGACAGCGGAUGAGUUCUUAGGUGAAAGAUCUCACAAGGGUCCGUCAAUGUGUGACCUUGUAGCUCCAUGAGCCUUUUAAUCUUGUCAUUAAAUCAGAGUCACAGCAUUCAGAAUAAUAACUUCGUACUAGCUGCACUAACUCAGGGCUCCAGGAACAAAUGAAAAGCAAGCUAUGAGUUCAGCUGCAUUUGGGUUUCUGGAACACCAAAAUAGAAGACAUAGGCACCUAGUGCUGGGUAGAUGUUCAGAUGAUGGUGUAUAUUUCAUGUGGCUCUGGAGCAAUUGUCAUGCCAACCUUACAGAGCUGUUCUCCCUAGUGAGGCUCUGUUAUCGAGGACAGCAUCCAAGGAGAAGGUCAGCUUCCCCAGGUACAGGUGACAAACCCCUAGUGCCACCAGGAGAUGAAAAGAGAGCAGAAGUACAUCCAGAUGUGGUGCAUCACCAGAACUUCUCAAGGAAAUCUGAGCGUGUCCUAGAAGGUUAAAAAAGAGAAGGUCUGCAUGUAACCAGUGACUUGAAAAGGAACGCUUUUGGAUUUUGUGGAAUAUAUUUUAUAUAAAUGCCCUCCUGGAAAACUGUCAAUAAAUAAAAUCCUGUGGAUUUUG